AAUUAUAGUUCUCACGCCCUCUUUUUCUCGAUAUUUUUCAGAGCAUUCCACGCAGGGAGAGGCCAUGGAUCGCGGAAAGGGUAUCGCCUCGGGCUAGCGUGCUUAUCGAGGGAUCGUUCGAGAGGUGGUCUACCUCUCGUGCUUUCUUUUUGUGAGAGGUUGAGAGUUGUACCCGUAUAUGUAUAGAGGCCACCACUUUUGUACUAGAGACGGUUAUUGUACUACUUAUGGUUUCUUUGUUUGACUAGCUUUAUUUCUUUACUUUGGUGUAGAUGAUAGAACUUUACUUGCUCUGAUAUCAUUAGUUGCUAGUUAUUUCACUUUUUCUAUUUGUUCUAUUACUUGCUUUUACUUCCGCUUUUAUUCUAGACGCCUUAUAUGUGUAGGCAUAUGGCAGGUCUGGGCACGCUACCGGGAGGGCCUCAGCCGGUCCCGGGGCGUGACAUGUCUCUACUUAGUAUGGAAUUGCAUAAGUAAGAAAGCUAUUCUAUCAUGAAAAUGCAUGAGUAUACAACCAUUGUAAUGUCCCCAAUGUAAUAGUAAAAUGUCAUUGUUUACUAUUCUAGUCAAUGUUCACUUGGCAUGUUAACUACUUAAAGUUAAAUCUUGGAAGACCCGCCCGAAGGCUGUCUGGCCUGUAGACCCACCCGUAGGCUGUCUGGCCGGUGCCGAGCCUAAUGGCCCUGUGGUAGUCAACAUCCCCACUCUAGGAAUGAGCCUUGCCCACGGCAAUCCACUUCGGCGCCAAAUCCCGCAUGGCGAAUAUGUAUCGCGAUGGCCAUCUCCGGAGUGCCGGCUUGUAGGGAGCGAC
rnacentral:lncRNA from 1 species